CAGUCUCGUGGGGCUUGUAGAAAAUUCGCAGGCACUUAUAAUGCAUGGUGGGGAGGUGCUGGGGGCCAAGUAUGAGGCCCCCUGGCAGUUCCUCAGCAGGGUCCUUGACCCUAUCCAGGAGCAUCACAGAAGGCUUCCACAGGGAUGAGCUCCAAGUUGGGAGCUGAAGUUCAAGCGGAGGUUAUUUAAAUUGUGAAUAACAGAAAUUCACAAGAUCAGAGGAUGAAAGACCCCUCUGGCCACAGGGCAGAGAAUGAACAGGAGAGGGGCACGUGUGGAACAGGGAAACCAGCGAUGAGGCUGUUGCUUCAACUGGGAGAACAGAAGAGAGGCAGAGGCCAUUUGGAUGGAGAGAAAGGGACGCAUACAAGAGCCAUCCUGGAGGUGGCAUCGAGAGAAGCUGGUUGAUGAGGAGGAUCUGUUUGGGAUGGGAGAAGGGAUUCAAACACACUGGUAGGUUUCUGGCUUCAGAAACUCUGGAUGGUGGUGUGUCCUGGGGCUGGAUAACACAGAGGGACAGGCCAGGACCUGCAGCCAAAGCCUGCCCCUCCGCCUGCACCAUGAGGAGUCAGGCUUGUGGACACUCUGGUCUGCACAGCCCAGCUCCCCGCACGCCGCCCUCCCAACAAACAGCUGCCCCUGUGCCUGCAGUGGAGUGUGCCCCCCAGAGGAUGGCCAGACCCUGGAAGAAGCUCCGAGCUGCCUGGGUGGGGAAUUCUGGAGUCUUGGAACGUAAGUAUUGUUGAGGGAUGGCGAGAGCUCGGGGUGGCCAUGUCCUGUGAGAAGGAGCAGAGCCAAAAGCAGCAAGAGAGGAGGUUCCAAGUGCCCCCAGGGCAGAGGGCCUGGGACAGCAGGUCUGAGGGCAGUACUGCAGGGAGAGAGUAGGGUGAAGGGCGACACUGAGUUCAGUUCUGGGCACAUUGUGUCUGAAGGGCCGCUGGAGAUACCCGGGAGGUAGUCACAAAUGUCCUUCUGGGACCAGGAAGGAGAUCAUGAAGUCCUACACAUCUUCCCAUGUCCACUCCCCUCAGCCUUACAUGUUUAAACCGGGACUAUGGGGGCCGGCCUGCUGGCAUAGUGGUUAAGCUCGCAUGCUCUGCCUAAGUGGCCCAGGGUUUGCAGGCCCGGAUCCCUGGCAUAGACCUAGCACCACUGGUCAAGCCACGCUGAGGCGGCAUCCCACAUAAAGAUGAGGAAGAUUGACAUGAAUGUCAGCUCAGCACCAAUCUUCCUCAAGCGAAAAGAGGAAGAUUGGCAACAGAUGUUAGCUCAGGGCCACUCUUCCUUGCCAAAAAAAUAACCAGGACUAUGCUGGGCUGUGUGAUGUGGCCCCGAGUCUCCUUCUCACUCCAACAUUGUCUAUGCCCUAACCUACCUUCUCCCACUUCCUUGUCUCGCCCCCAGGCUGGUGAACCCGCGGGGGCAAAGCAUGAGGAAGUCUGUUCACCAAAUUCUUGUAAUCAGUUUAGUUACACAACAAAAUUCAGAUCAGAGUGAGGAUUAGCAGAGGAAGUUUGUGAACGGUGCUUUGAACUUCACAGAGGAAAGCCCCCUCCCCCAUUCACAUAAAGAAAGGCCAAGGUAUUAAACGUGACGUAAACCCAUGGCCGCCCCCAGGCCUCGCUGCCGCCCCAUGCAGCCGGCUGGGUGAUCAGCUGGCAUCCCAAAUUGCCUCCCCCCAUGGCAUUCCAUCCAGGUCUCCCAGAGUGGGGGAAAAUGGAUUCUGUCCUCAGCCCGCUGCUCCUGGAAUUGCAAGCAUUCGGUGAGCUGGCCCCCCAGGCCUGGCUGCUCCAGGACUCCUGCCUGCAGCCCGGGGCCGGCAAAGUAAGGAGGGACGGUCCCCUCCCCACAGCUCCCCAUCUCACUCGGAGCCCAGGGCACGGAGGGAAAGAAGAAGGGCAGAGCGGGGGGUCAGAGCAGCCCUCUGCACAGCCUGGGCUGCUGCUGGCGGGUUAUUGUUCCCAGAUGGAGACUGUCAAACCCUGUCAGCCUCAGAUACACACUGAGAGCAUUACAUCCGCAUUCCUGGAAUGUGUAGCUGCCCGGCUUCGCCUCUGCAGCCCUCCAUUGAAUAACAUGUCAGCUUCCUUCAGCCUCACCUCCAGCUAAAACCCUCUCACCCACUCACAGCCUCGCGUAUGGAGCACACACGCACCAUGGCUGUCUAAAUAUUUAAGCUGGGCUAAGGGGAGGCGUAUGUAGUUGGAAUUCAUCGCACUGGCUUGUCCGAGCUGGGUGGGUCUCACCUGUUGGUGCUGGUUCUAUGGAAAGCUUUGGAAGCCAAGAUCCAUUGACUGUGCUCCUUGGGCUCCAGGGCUGAUGACGUGACUGCUAUCCCAGGGGCUGGCAGCCUGUGGCACCUGGGCGAAGGAGCAUGGCAACUUGGCUGCUGCUGUUUACUUAAGGGCCUGGCUGCUGGCACCACAAGAGGCCUUGCCAGGGACUGCUGGAGGGCUCCUGUGCCCUUCAUUCCCAUCCACUGUCCUGGAUCUGCCAUGGUAGGAACACAGCCCCUCCAGCCGGGUCCUGGCAUUGCCUCCCAGAGCUGUGAGGCUGCUCCCACCCUGGCAGAGCCUUACCACGUGAGUCUAUUCUCUUUGGCUAGUGUGAAAUAAAUUAGGCUCUUGUUCAAACUGCACUGAAUCUGCAGGCCACAAGGGUACCUGUGGGGACAGUUGAGGACACCUGGAGCCCAGGAAUGGUAAGUGACUUGCUCAGGAUCUCACAGCAGUUGACGAUGAAGCUGGAUCUAUAAUCCCAGACCUUUGACAUUUCAUCUGUUGUAGCUUGAAUCGUGUCCCCAGAAAGAUAUGUUGAAGUCCCAACCCCUCGUGCCUACGAAUGCGAGCUUAUUUGGAAAUAGAUGCAAUCGAGCUGAGAUGACGUCAUUAGGGCGGACCCUAAUCCAGUAUGACUGGCUUCCUAUGAAGGGGGGGAAAUGUGGACACAGACAGACACACAGAGAAAAGAUAGCCGUGUGAAGAUGAGGCAAAGAUUAGAAUUCUAAUUCUAAUCACAGUCACAAACCAAGGAACACCUGGAUGAAGCCACCCGACCCUGCAAGAGGCAAGGAAGAGUCCUCCCCUCAAGGCUUCGGAAGGAGCACGGCCCUGCCAACAUCUUGAUUUCAGACUUCCGGGAUCCAGAGCUGUGAGAGAGUAAGUUUCUGCUGUCUUCAGUCAUCCACUUAAUGGUGCUUUGUUACCGCAGCCCCAGGAAGCCAACGUACCCCUAAAAGAGCUUCUGAUGCAAGAACCGGGUGAAAUUCUGCAUGAAAAUGCAGUUCCUUGGAAGCAAUGAGAGAGGGCUAAUUGUGGGUUUGGGAUUUCAGAAUACCUACCAGGUCAUUGCAGUGUGCAAGUCAUCUUUGAGGAAGACCCGACGCUCUGCGCCUCCGCUUUUCCUGAGAAAUGCCCUUUACCAAGGCUCAAUGAUAUGGACUCCUUAUCAAUUUUUAAACUUGAAUUUAUGAGUCGAUGUAAAAUCAGAGGGACUUUUCCUCUUAAUCCUUCUUUAGGCUGACCUACCUAAUUCUGAUCAUUUCCAUUUAAGUGGCCUUCCCAUCUCAGGGAUUUUGAAGUACUUACCAAACUCUAUGACCCAUGGGAGUGGCCUCUGGGGUUAGGAAUUCCUGGUUUACAUCUGCCCUCUGACCUCACCCUGUCGCAAUGACUCCGUUAAACUGAGUCAUUUGAUUCAGUGGAUUCCAUAAAGAAGAUAAGAGCUGGUGUAGAAAAUACUGUGGCUUAUGGGGCUGGCCCAGUGGCGCAGUGGUUAAGUGCGCAGGUUCCACUCCUCGGUGGCCCGGGGCUCGCCGGUUCAGAUCCCAGGUGUGGACAUGGCACCACUUGGUACCCUAUGCUGUGGAAGUAUUCCCACAUAUAAAGUACAGGAAGAUGGGUACGGAUGUUAGCUCAGGGCCAGGCUUCCUCAGCAGAAAGAGGAGGACUGGCAGUGGUUAGCUCAGGGCUAAUCUUCCUCAAAGAAAAGAAAAGAAAAUACUGUGGCUUAGGGCUGACUGUGGGCCUUGGGUUUGGGCAAAUGGAUGCUUUGCAAUUAACCUUGAUGUUUUUCUUAAUUCUCAAGAGAUGGAGAUUAUGAGCUGCUGAUUUCUCCAAGAAUCCAUUGCCCCAUGCCUUCAGUCUGUAAUGAUGCAUCUUACAAAGCAUUAGUUGGUGGCUUGAAAUCAGUUAUGGCUGGGUUUCUAACACCCAGCAACACUGGUCUGAGAAAACCCUCAUGCCCGCUGCCUUCUGUCAACCUCACACAUUGGCUGCGGCUGGUUGCCCAAGCCCUAAUUUCCUGGUUGUGUAACUUUGAGAGUGACUGUCCUAAUAGAUAUGUUCUAUUUCCUUGCCUCACUGCUCUUCACUGAAGUCUCUUGUUUACUGUGGAACCGCUCUGGGAAUCUAAACAUGCCAACGGAUAGCUCACCCUGCCCCACAAGGCGUGAGUUGAGUUAAGUGGAACCAUACCUUUGCUUUCUUCCCAAACCCAUGGGUGGAACCAAUUGAAACUUCAUGAUCGUGCAAUGCAUGUGCAGAAACUCCCCUGCGUGUUCUAAUGUUCCUCCCAAGAAGGACACGAUAUUUUCGCCUGUGUUUUACCUCCCAAAGACAGGCACCGCACUCUAAGGACCAUAGGUCUAAACAAUUGGCCACUGCUUAAAUGAGUGGUGGCACAGCCGUGCAAUGCCCCCCAAGGCAGCCACAGAAAGUCAUGCUUUGGAAGCAAAUUCAAUGACAUGGCAAAAUGUUUAUGGUCUGCUGUUAAGUAAAAAAAAACUGCUUAGAAAACAGAAUGUACAGUAUGAAAAGAAUUCCGUAAAAAUUGUGUGUAUAUCCAUAGAAAAUCUGGAAGGCUGUACUCCAAAAUGUAAACAUUGAUGAAACACUCAGCGCUGUGAACAUGCAACAGCCCAGUACGUGCAAGGCUCCAUGGCGUCUGCCCCAGAGAACAAGCAGUGGCUGCCAUCCUGGCACUGGGCUGUGCCUGCUGGGAAGGUCCAUCUUUUUCUAAUCAUACAUGGCACCAUACAGACUGGAGUCAGCUCUGGGGAUGAUGAACUUGGGCAGACCUCGCCCUUCCUGAGGGUACCUUCCUGUGUGGGGGGUGUAGUGACUGGUGAGGGCAUGAUUCUGUGCUGCUCAGUGAGGCUAAGAAGGAAAGCAGCAGGACACAUGCCACCUAUCCACUACUGCCAAAGCCACCAGGUAGUGACAUUACCACCAUCACAGCUAAAGGAUUCUGAUUGGAACAGCAUUAAAUCGAUCUGAGAAAAACUGACAUUUUUACUGUGUUGAGUCUUCCAAUCCAUGAACAUGGUAUGUCUCUCUAUUUACUUAGGUCUUCUUUGAUUUUUUUUCAUCCAUUAGUGUUCAUACAGACCUUAUAUAUGUCUUGUUAGAUUUAUACCUAAGUAUUUAAUUUUGUGGGUAACCAUUAUAAGUGAUAUUUUUUUUAAAAGUUUUGGUGUCCAGUUGUUCAUUGCUAGCAUGUAGAAAUACAAUUGAAUUUUGUGUGCUGACUUUGCAUCCUACAACCUUACCAAACUCACUUAUUAGUUCUUGAAAUUUUUUUAAAAAUCAGAUUCCUUGGGGGCUGGCCUGGUGGCGCAGCAGUUAAGUGCACACGUUCCACUUCUCGGCAGCCCGGGGUUUGCCGGUUCGGAUCCCGGGUGCAGCCAUGGCACCACUUGGCAUGCCAUGCUGUGGUAGGCAUCUCACAUAUAAAGUAGAGGAAGAUGAAGAUGGAUGUUAGCUCAGGGCCAGUCUUCUUCAGCAAAAAGAGGAGGAUUGGCAGCAGUUAGCUCAGGGCUAAUCUUCCUCAAAAAAAAAAAAAAAGAUUCCUUGGAUUUUCAUGUAAUUUACAACCAGGGACAGCUUUAUUUCUUCCUUUCCAAUCUGUUUGCCUUCAUUUCUCUUUCUUGCCUUAUUGCACUGACUAGGACUUUCAAUAUGAUGUUGAACAAGAAUACAGAAGCUGGAAAACCUUGCCUUGUUCUUAAUCCUGAGGGGAAAGUAUUUAGUGUUUCGUCAUUAAGUACCAUGCCAGCUGUAGCUUUUUUGUAGAUGUCCUUUAUUAGAUUGAGGAAGUUCCCUUCUCAUCCCUUAUGGUGCAUGUGCUUGCAAGACUGUGUGAUGGGUAGGAAGAGUGUGGGCUUUGGGGCAGAGGAGACUGGCUCUGGGGUUCAGCUCCACUACUCUCUAAUUAUGCAACUGUGUGUAGAUAAUGCAGAACUUCCCAUACAUGAAGUUAAGGGAAUGCAACCUUCCUCAUGAAGUCUUUGAGAGGAAUAGCUGAGAUCAAGUACAUGAAGAACCCGCCACAGUACUAGUCAUGUAACAGAUGCUCAGUAGUGGUGUUUUGAUGGUUAAUUCCACAUGCACCAUUAUUCCAAAGGUUUUAAAACACCCUCAGAGGCCCUGCAUGUUCUGUCAGCCUCCUUUGGUCCCUCUGUUACUUCCCUGUCCUUGUCUCCUCUUACUCCCCUCCCUUUCACCCCUCCUGCUUCAGCCACACAGGCGGAGGCUGUGUCAUUCCACACACACCAGGCACACUGCCCUGAGAGUGGGCCAUUCCCUAUACACAAACAGCUCUCCCCCUAGAUACUCACACAGCUCAUCUCCCCAUCUCCUUAAGACUUCACUCAAAUGUCACUUUUCCAUGAAACCUACUCUGACCGUUUGUGUUUGCUCCUAGGACUACAAACACAGAUUACCACAAACUGGUGCCUUAAAACACAAGAGACAUUUAUUUUCUAACAGCGUGGGGGCCAGAAGCCCGAAGUCAAGGUGAUGACACAGCCACACUCCACAGUCUCUGGGGGGGAUGCCUUCCUUUCUUCUUCCAGCUUCUGGUGGCUGCAAGUAUUCCUUGACUUGCCAGUCUCUGUCAUCGACUUUUUACCUGUGCCUGUGUCUCAAACCUUCCUCUGCCUUUUCUCUUCUAAGUACACCUGUCAUCGGAUUUAGGGCCCACCUGGAUAAUCUAGGAUGAUCUCAUUUCAAGACCUGUGAUGGUUAAUUUUUUGUGUCAACUUGACUGGACUGAGGGAUGUCCAGAUAGCUGGUAAAACAUCGUUUCUGAGUGUGUCUGUGAGGGUGUUUCCGGAAGAGAUUCGCAUUUGAAUUGGUAGACUGGGUAAAGCAGAUGGCCCUCCGCAUUACAGGUGGGCAUCGUCCCAUCCAUUGAGAUCCCAAAUAGAACAAAAGGGUAGAGGCAGGUGAAUUUGCUUUCUCUCUGCUUCAGCAGAGACAUAUCUGUCUUCUCCUGCCCUUGAACAUCGGCGCUCCUGGUUCUUGGGCUUUUGGACUCAGAUCAGGACUUACUCCAUCAGCCCCCAGAUUCUCAGGCCUUCAGACUCCGACUGAAUUAUACCACCAGCUUUCCUGGUUCUCCAGCUUCCAGACAGCAGAUGUUGGAACUUCUUGGCCUCCAAGACUGCGUAGGUCAAUUCCUACAAUAUGUCUCCUCUUGUAUAUAUCUAGAUAGAUAGAGUUAUAGAUAUAGAUAUAUCCUAUUGGUUCUGUUUCUCUGGAGAAUCCUGGCUAAUACAGGACCAUUAACUGAAUUGCAUCUGUAAAGACCCUUUUUCCAAAUAUGGUUACCUUCAUAGGUUCCAGAGGUUAGAAUUCAGACAUAUCUUUUUGGGGGCCAUUAUUCAACCCACUACAUUACUCUAUUUAACAACUGCAAAAUUGCACUCACACACACACACCACCACCAUCCUCCUGAUGCCCCUUACUCUGUUUCUGUUUUCUUAUUUUCCAUAGUUCUUGCCACCUUCUAACACACAAUAUCAUUUUCUUAUGUGUAAGUUUUAUUGUAAUUUUUGACCAGGACAGGGAUUUAUGUCUGUUUUGUUCAUUGAUAUAACACAGGAAUGUAGACUAGAGCGAUGCUUGGUGCAUAUCAAGUGCUCACUAAAUUCAUACUGAAUGAAUUGAUGAGUGAAUGAAUGACAUGUGUCAUGGGGAGCCAGUGGCCCAAACAGCUCCUGACAUUCAAGCAGGAGUCAAUAAAUGCCUGAGGAAUGAAAUGAGAUGAAACAGUCAGGAACUCGCCCUUAGGAGAACUCUGGGAGACCCCAACUGAAAAGGCAGAGUUAUUCCCAAGCUCCUUUUUCUAGUUUUAAUUUCUUUUUCCUCAGCAGAUUUCCAAAUCCUGAGCUGCCCACAUUGGGAGCAGUGAUUCUCUGCUGGUGACUCAGUGUUAAACGGUUCUGGAGCUGACUGAGCUGGAAAUUACUCCCCCCAAAUCUGGAAAGGUUUUGUUUUCAGAGAAUAUAUCUUGGUCUCUUGAUAAGGUAUAAUUAAUCACACAAAUGAGCAUAAUGACCAAAAAUAGGUUCCAAAGGGCAAGCUAAUUCUGGAUAAUUAUAAAUCAGAGGGUUUGAUGAGUCUAGGAUGCUGCUGGAUUGGGCAUCGAUGACCCAAGCCAAAUAUUCCACAGAAAAAUAAAGAUGGGGGCAAGCUCUGCACCUGGUUUCCAGAUGCUGCCACCCACUUGUCACCCCAUUCUGAUGCUCACUCUCAUUUAUCAUUUAUAAGAUACUUUGCGAUAUGCUUAUUUCUUUAUUUCCUGAAAUAAUGGCCUUUGAGACCAAAAAAAAAGAAAAAAGUGACUGGCUGCUGAGAAUGCAAUUUUGGAGCCUGGGUUUUCGUUUGGUUGUUUUGUCUAUUUCAGUUUGGUUGGGUUGUUUUUGCCUUCUGCAAAGUUCACAGCACAACUAAAGUCUUUAAAUAAAAAUGUUUCUUUUUUUUUCUUUUUUUUCCUUCUUCUCUCCAAAGCUCCCCAGUAGAUAGAUGUAUAUCCUAGUUGUGGGUCCUUCUAGUUCUGUUCUGUGGGACGCCACCUCAGCAUGGCUUGAUGAGCAGUGCUAGGUCCACGCCCAGAAUCCAAACCCAUGAAACCCUGGGCUGCUGAAGCAGAGAGCAUGAACUUCACCACUGGGCCACGGGGCUGGCCCUAGUUCUUAUUUUUAGUAAAACAGUAAGACAUGCUUUGAAAGGUGUUUAGAAAAUGCAGAUGAGGAAAAGGAAGAAAAUAUUUUUAAUUAACCUGUAACGCCACUGCCCAGAGAUAGCCGUGGCUGUGAUCGACAUUGUGUCUCACCUCCAUUGUUUUGCAUCUCAAGAACGUCCUCACUUCCUGCCCAUCUCACUCUUUGUUCAGCUGUUUUAGCUGUGUGCAUGGUGGUUUAACGAUGGCACAUGCCACAGAGCAAAGAGGCCAAGGACAACCUGCUGACUCCCCCAGUCUCUUCUCCCAUGUUGUAUCCUCAACAUCCUGGAUCCACGCCUGCAGGAGAAGCCGUCAUAUUGCAUUUGUCUUGCAAGGAUUUAAUCACAGGCCUCCAGGAAGCACGGCCCAGAGCCAGAGCUCCACCCUGGAAGACGUUCUGGUUCUAGGUCUGUCUCAGAAUUACUGUGGACCUCCAUGUUCCAGCAAAGAAUGAAAAGAAUAGAAUCUAUCCAUCAUUCAUUCAACAAAUAUUUACCAACCACUUGCUCUGUGCCAGUGUUCACAUUUUCUAUGCUGCAUAACAAACCACCCAAAACAGAAUGGCUUUUAACAACUAUUUAUUAUUACUUCUUAUAAGUUUGUUCUUGGGCUGGGCUCAGCGGGGAGGUCUUGCUCUGAGUCUCACAGGUGGCAAUCAGCUGGUGGCUGGGCCUGCAGUCAUCCGAAGGCUCGUCCGGGCUGGAUGACCAAGAUGGCUCCCUCCGCAGCAGGAGGCUCGGUGCUCUGAGGAUGGCCCCUGCCUCUUCACGUGGGGUUACAUCCUCCAGGCCUUCUCCACCGGGCUUGGGCUUCGCACAGUAUGGUGGCUUCAGGCUACUACUCCUUCUUACAUGGCAACUGCCUUCCAAAGGUAGAAAGCAGAAGCUGCCAGGCCAGUUAAGGGCCACACCAAGGACAGGUAUAGCAUCAUUUCUGUCACAUUCUAGGAGUGAAAGCUGUCACAGGGCCUACCCAGAUUCAGGGAGGUGGAGAAACAGACUCUACCUCUUGAUGGGAGAGUGGCAAAUCACCUGGCAGAAGGGCAUGUGGGAUAGGAAAUACUGUUGCCACCAUCCUUGGAAACUCUGGCCUGCCACAAGUAGGCACUGUGUACAGGCAGGGUAUACAGUGUUGAGGGCCCCUCAGUCCUCAGAGCUAACAUCUAGCAGGCAAGACAGACAUUAAACAAAUAACCAUGCAGUAAAAUAUAUAUUUCCACAGUGAAAAGCUAGGCACUGUGAUGGAAAAGCACAAUGGGAAAGGAAAAGAAUAAAUGGAGCUUGGUCAAGGAAUGCCUCUCGGAAAAUGGCGCACGUAGACUGAGACCCCAGUGGUGAGCAGGAGUUGUCCAACUGAAUAGCAUUCCAAGCAGAAGGAGCAGCAUGUGAGAAAGAAGGAGAGUGGGGUUAAAAUAUACGGAGAAAGAGGAAGAUGGGUGCAAAAAGAGGUUGAGGAAAUAAGCCAGGCCUGGGUCAUGUAGGGCCUGGCAGCCCUUAUUGAGUAUCUAGGAUUUUUUUUUCUCAAUGCAAUAGAAAACCACUUGUUUUGUUUAGGUUAGAUUCAGUUGUAGGUGACAGGAACCUAAAAUAAUAAUGAAUUAAACAAGGCAGAAAUAUCUCUCUCCCUCACAUGAGCUACGUUUUACAUAAUCCAUCAGAGGAUAGGAUGCUUGUCUCUAGUAUCAGGGACCAGCACCUUCCAUCUUCCAUCUUCAGAAUACAGUUUACCCCUCCCUCAUGGUUCAGGAUGGCUGCUUGAGCUCCAGCCAACACAUCCACAUGGCAGUCAACAAAAAGGAGGAAAGAGGAUACGUUUUUCUCCCUUUCAGAGUCCGUGUCAUUUUCACUUACCCUCACUGGCCAGAACUGAAUCAUGUAGCCACACCACCUGCUAGGGAGGCUGGGGAAUGCAGUCUUUAUUCCAGGUGCUCAUGUGCCUAGUUAAAACACAGAUGCCUUAUUACUGAGGAAGGAGGGGAGAAUGGAUAAACAGUACUCUGUGCUACAGUCCUGAAAGGUUUUAAGGAAGGGAGUAUUUCUUACGCUGCCAAAACGUGUUGUAAAACUGGACACAGUUUUCCUCGUGAAGGAUCCUGAGUCCUACCGUACCCUCCAGCACACACUGCUGCUCUCUGCGUGACCUUGAGACUCCCGUUUGGGUCUUGGAUUCCUGAUCCACAAAAAGGAGGCUAUCCCGCCCAUCUAAUAACAGCAUUAUGGGAGCCAGUAGGGUAAUAAUAAUAAAAGGGCUUAGCAGCGGGUAGGAGUGAGCAAUCCUUUUAGGGAGGAUGUUAAUUCCGAGAAAUACCCAAUCUGUGAACUAUCUAGAGCUUUGGAAGCACCAAGGAAAUAAACACCACUCCAAAUUUCCGAUGGUCAUCCUGUAAGACAGCAACCAGCGAGAAGUGCUUAAGUGCGCAGAAGGGGGCUGAUGUCCACUGCCCGUAAGUGGACAGAACCAGGCUGAUGUCAUCAGCUUCCUGGGAAAUGCCAAAGUUAAAGUGACCUGCUCCCUGAGCAGACAGCAGUCACGGGCCCCUGGUCACAGAGCCCAGACUCUUGAGAGACAUGACCAGAUGCUGUUUCCAGAAGAUCCAGCUGCGUUCACACGUCACACUGAGGGAGACAGGAUUUAGGAUGAGUUGGUCUCUAAGACCCGGGUUAGAGGAAAAGUCGGGACAGGACUAUAGUUCAUUUGUUCCUAUUCUGGAAAGCUCCCUCUACCUAAUAAUAGAGUAAGAUUAUCUUGUUCAACACACACCAGUCCAAAGAGGCAGGUGCCAGUCACACCUCCAUUUUACAGAUGAGAAAAUCGAGGCCCAAGAGCCCACAGUUACUACCGGCUGAUGGUAGGCUCUGUCUCAGGAAGUCUGGCUCCAUAGCCCUUGAAGGUAAACUGCUAAUUACCCUGCCUCCAACUGCCUAAAUCUUAAGAAGUCUCACUUCCAAUGCCACGCACAGGGCUUGAAGGCCUACUAUGUGCCAGGCCCUCGACUGAGUGUGGGUGUUGUAGAGACAAAAAAGACACAGUCCUGGUCCUCAAGGAGUUCGCAAGCUCGGGAGUAUACUGAGUGAAUGUACUGCUGGGUAUGCUGAGUGGUUACCGCAUAUGUGGGAGGAAGGCCUAACCCACCCUGCAGGCCAUGCCAGGAGCAGUCAGGGAAGGCUUCCUGGAGGAGGCAACACCUGAGCUGAGCCUGAUGUCUCUUACUCAAAUACACUUGAAUGUGUCUGAAAUAGUAUACAAGCUUCUCUCUCUCUCUCUCUCUCUCACACACACACACACCAAAUAUUACUGCUUUAUAACUACCCACCUUUGAUCCACCAGUCUGAUCCUCCUAAUCUAUUUACAAACAGACCUCUGCUCACCAUUGGUAAGGACGUCUGAGUGGGCCUUCCUGAAUCUCAGCCCAUCUGUUUUAUGGCUCAGGUGUUUCAUUUCAGGUUACAGCAGAUUUUGGAGCAAAAGGCAGCCUCACAUAAGUGUCCAGAGGAGGACAGAGGCCACGCUCAUACCUGCCCCUGUCCCUACCCCCAACUGGAGAGCCGGGGCCCCUGGUGUGAACCAGGCCAGUCAUUCUUCCGCUCACACUUCCUCACCAUGGGCCUGCUAUGACCUUCAUAACCUCGUCUUUUAUAUGACUUUUUAUAGGACCGUAUAUAACCUUCAUAUGACCUCGUCUUUUAUCCCCAGAACAAUUGUUUCCAUGGAGAACAUUUUCUUAUUGGAAAACACAAGGCUUGAAACUGAAGACAAUUAAGGGGUAGGGAAAAUGAAAAGCCUGGGAUUCCAGCCCAUUGGAGGAAAGUAAGAUCCAGAAAGGGCACUGCAGGAAUGGUGGGGGCAGCCAGGGCUCCUGGCCUGGCUUCUUGAGAGGCACGGUGUUCUGGAUAUUCAGACGGUAUUUAAUAGAUGCACAAGAACAUGGACCUGGCACAUCCAUGCAUCUAUGAAGCAUGGGAUUGGUGCACCAGCCUGGAUAGAAAGAGUGUGGCGAGGGGACUUGCUUUGAAGCUGUGCGCAACAUGCGGUGGAGAAAACGUCAGUUGUCUACGCCAGAGAGGGAAGGCAGGAUAUCAGCCCUGUGAUACUCUAGAAAACAACGCACCUCUCCAUCCAUUUAGAUCCUAUAUUCCCGACAUGGAAUUCAGGUCUGAAGCCAUCAUCUCCAGUUUCGAGGUUGCUGGCUCUUAUGUUCUUGCUUCAAUGGCUGCUCCCCUCUCAGACUGUGUCGACCUGUGCUAAACUCACUCCCUGGGGCAGGCAUUGGCUCAUAGUCAAAUUCUCAGAACUGAGCUCAGUUUGCUGUCGGGGCUGGGUGAAUAGUUGGGUGUGUGUGCGCACAUGCAUGUGUGUGUGUGUGUUCUCCUCCAGUGUGGCACCUUCUGUCAGCUCUUCUGCAGCCUCUCUUUUAAUAAAUUCAUUCCCAAUCCUUUUAAACAUUUCAUCUUUAAACCCACAAGAAUGCUAGAAUUCUAUCUGAGCUUCAAGAAUUAUAUAUUUAAAAAGUCGCUUGAAAUUGCAUAACCACUAAUCUAGGAACAUUAACCUUUUUGAAUCUUUCAAGUAGUUGCAUGAGCAAACCUAAAAGUGUCCUUUUCCUUCACUGUUUAGUGAGUUAACUAAUCAUUCUGGCAUUGUUCUUAUUUUUCAUGUCAAGAAACCCAACAGUACUUCCCUGCACUAUAUAAGUUUCUGAGAGCUCUUAAAACAGGUUGUCAUCAGAAAAAAAAGAGUGAAGUUUUCCAAAAUGAGCUUUAAAGAAGAUAAUUCUCCAGGAACGCAGUUAAAAGAGAAAGUUUAUAUGUAAGUAAUUGCUGAGGAAUGUGUUUUAAUACAGUGAUAUCUUAAUGUGAUGACGCAGUCUAAAUAUGUUUUAUUUGCAAUGUUCUUGAAACAACUUAUCGAGGUGCUUUGUGCUCUGGAAUGAGAUACUUCUCUUCAAUUAAGAGAUCCAAGUGCUCCAAAGAGAUAGAAGGUAACGUCUAUUUGGGGGAUAUCACCAAAAGAAAGGAAAAGAAAAACUAAACUUUAUUAAAACGCUGAAAAUCCAGUGUGCUUAAAUGAAACGUUCAGUAUGGUUUAUCUAGAUAAGGAGAAUGCAGUACAAUGAAACUAUUUUAGUCUUGCGUAUGUGAAACACAGUUGUAACAUUCUAACUUCUUAGAACCUAGUGGGUAUUUCACAGGGAUCCAGUCUUUCAUUUCAGCUAUUCCGAUAUGUUUGACUUUGUCAUAAAUUUAUUAAUGUAUCAUGUAAAUAGAAAAGCAUAUUUUAAUGUUGAGACAGAGAUUCCUUUUAAAAAUAACUUUUUCUUAUUAUAAAAAGUUACACAGAAAUUUACAGAGAAAAUAAAAAUCAGCCAUAAUCACACCAUUAGGGAGAACGAUUAUUAACAUUUUGGUAUUAUCAUUCCAGUCUUCUUUUGUGCAUAAAAAAUGUAAUUUUUAG
ensembl:lncRNA